rnacentral:rRNA from 1 species
UACAGAGGGUGCAAGCGUUAAUCGGAAUUACUGGGCGUAAAGCGUGCGUAGACGGUCAUGUAAGUCGGGUGUGAAAGCCCCGGGCUCAACCCGGGAACUGCAUCCGAAACCAUCUCGCUAGAGUAUGGGAGAGGGAAGCGGAAUUCCUGGUGUAGAGGUGAAAUUCGUAGAUAUCAGGAGGAACAUCUGCGGCGAAGGCGGCUUCCUGGCCCAUUACUGACGUUCAGGUACGAAAGCGUGGGUAGCAAACAGG